UCCCAAAGAUUAGCGGCGGACGGGUGAGUAACACGUGGGCAACCUGCCUGUAAGACUGGGAUAACUCCGGGAAACCGGGGCUAAUACCGGAUAAUAUCUAUUUAUACAUAUAAUUAGAUUGAAAGAUGGUUCUGCUAUCACUUACAGAUGGGCCCGCGGCGCAUUAGCUAGUUGGUGAGGUAACGGCUCACCAAGGCGACGAUGCGUAGCCGACCUGAGAGGGUGAUCGGCCACACUGGGACUGAGACACGGCCCAGACUCCUACGGGAGGCAGCAGUAGGGAAUCUUCCGCAAUGGACGAAAGUCUGACGGAGCAACGCCGCGUGAGUGAUGAAGGUUUUCGGAUCGUAAAACUCUGUUGUUAGGGAAGAACAAGUACCGGAGUAACUGCCGGUACCUUGACGGUACCUAACCAGAAAGCCACGGCUAACUACGUGCCAGCAGCCGCGGUAAUACGUAGGUGGCAAGCGUUGUCCGGAAUUAUUGGGCGUAAAGCGCGCGCAGGCGGUUCCUUAAGUCUGAUGUGAAAGCCCACGGCUCAACCGUGGAGGGUCAUUGGAAACUGGGGAACUUGAGUGCAGAAGAGGAAAGUGGAAUUCCA
rnacentral:rRNA from 1 species